rnacentral:rRNA from 1 species
GGAUUCCCUUAGUAACUGCGAGUGAAGCGGGAAAAGCUCAAAUUUAAAAGCUGACAGUCUUUGAUUGUCCGCAUUGUAAUCUAGAGAAGUGUUACCCGCGUUGGACCGUGUAUAAGUCUCCUGGAAUGGAGCGUCAUAGAGGGUGACAAUCCCGUCUUUGACACGGAUAACCAAGGCUUUUGUUGGUACGCUCUCAAAGAGUCGAGUUGUUUGGGAAUGCAGCUCAAAAUGGGUGGUAAAUUCCAUCUAAAGCUAAAUAUUGGCGAGAGACCGAUAGCGAACAAGUACCGUGAGGGAAAGAUGAAAAGAACUUUGGAAAGAGAGUUAAACAGUACGUGAAAUUGCUGAAAGGGAAACGCUUGAAGUCAGUCGCAUUGACUUAGAGAUCAGCCUGGCUUUUGCUGGGUGUAUUAUCUAGUUAAUGGGUCAGCAUCAAUUUUGGUCAUUGGAAAAGGCUGAAGGAAAUGUGGCAUCUUCGGAUGUGUUAUAGUCCUUCAUCGUAUACAGUGACUGGGAUUGAGGAACUCAGCACGCCGCAAGGCCGGGAUGUUUAUCCACGUUCGUGCUUAGGAUGCUGGCAUAAUGGCUUUAAUCGACCCGUCUUGAAACACGGACCAAGGAGUCUAACAUACCUGCAAGUGUUUGGGUGGCAAACCCGAGCGCGUAAUGNAAAGUGAAAGUUGAGAUCUCCUAAUCUUUGGUUAGGGGAGCAUUGACGCCCGGACCAGACCUUUUGUGACGGAUCUGCGGUAGAGCAUGUAUGUUGGGACCCGAAAGAUGGUGAACUAUGCCUGAAUAGGGUGAAGCCAGAGGAAACUCUGGUGGAGGCUCGUAGCGAUUCUGACGUGCAAAUCGAUCGUCAAAUUUGGGUAUAGGGGCGAAAGAC